ACAUCGUCCGAACGUCCACGGGAGGCGGCCGCCGAGGCAUCCGCAACAGGCGCAUCUCUGAUCUCGAGAAGCGUGUGAA
rnacentral:rRNA from 1 species